AAAAAACCAAUGCCCUUUCGGGGCUCUUUGGUGAUUCAUGAUAACUUAACGAAUCGCAUGGCCUUGCGCCGGCGAUGGUUCAUUCAAAUUUCUGCCCUAUUAACUUUCGAUGGUAGGAUAGAGGCCUACCAUGGUAUCAAUGGGUAACGGGGAAUUAGGGUUCUAUUCCGGAGAGGGAGCCUGAGAAACGGCUACCACAUCCAAGGAAGGCAGCAGGCGCGCAAAUUACCCAAUCCCGACACGGGGAGGUAGUGACAAUAAAUACUGAUACAGGGCUCUUUUGGGUCUUGUAAUUGGAAUGAGUACAAUUUAAAUACCUUAACGAGGAACAAUUGGAGGGCAAGUCUGGUGCCAGCAGCCGCGGUAAUUCCAGCUCCAAUAGCGUAUAUUAAAGUUGUUGCAGUUAAAAAGCUCGUAGUUGAACCUUGGGCCUGGCUGGCCGGUCCGCCUCACCGCGUGUACUGGUCCGGCCGGGCCUUUCCUUCUGGGGAUCCGCAUGGCCUUCACUGGCUGUGUCGGGGAACCAGGACUUUUACUUUGAAAAAAUUAGAGUGUUCAAAGCAGGCCUUUGCUCGAAUACAUUAGCAUGGAAUAAUAGAAUAGGACGUGCGGUCCUAUUUUGUUGGUUUCUAGGACCGCCGUAAUGAUUAAUAGGGAUAGUCGGGGGCAUCAGUAUUCAAUUGUCAGAGGUGAAAUUCUUGGAUUUAUUGAAGACUAACUACUGCGAAAGCAUUUGCCAAGGAUGUUUUCAUUAAUCAGUGAACGAAAGUUAGGGGAUCGAAGACGAUCAGAUACCGUCGUAGUCUUAACCGUAAACUAUGCCGACUAGGGAUCGGGCGAUGUUAUUCUUUUGACUCGCUCGGCACCUUACGAGAAAUCAAAGUCUUUGGGU
rnacentral:rRNA from 1 species